rnacentral:lncRNA from 1 species
AACACAUUGUUUGUUAAUGACGCAAUGUUGAGCCUGGGUUUGGUCAAGAUAUGACUCAGUAGAUCUGCAUGGAGCUUAGCAAUUCUAGAAGAAUUGAAGUUGGGGUCCUGAGCUUUGGAUUUGAGCGUCAAAGCAACUGGUCGCCAGUGAGAAGCAAUGAAGCUGAUGAAGAUGAAGCUGAUUCUGUUUCUCUCUCUCGCCUGGAUGAUCUGCAACACAGGUAACUGGGCUCACAGAUUUGUGCAGGUACAAGAAGUUCUAACUGCAUGUUUAGAGAGUGUGUGUGUGUGUGUGUGUGUGUGUGUGUGUGUGUGGCUCUCACACAGAUAAGGUCACACAGAGUCACUUAUUAUCUUACUGUCUGUUCCUCGUGGCAGCAGAAACUCUCCGGUGUUUCAAAGGUUUUGGUCCUGGUGUUCUUGGCCCGUGUCACUUUGCUGGUGAUUGGUGUGCAACUUUUACAAUUACUUCAGCUUUUGAAGGAAGUCCUGCAAAAGAUGUUGAGAGGCGGCUGCAACCACCAGGAUUUCCCAUAUCCAGAACUCGGCAAACCAAACGGCCUCAAGUGUUUGACCUGCACUGGUUUGGGUCCUGAUCAUGUGUGUAACAGCACCGUGGAGUGUGUGGGAACACAGGACCGCUGCGUAGACGUCUACGUGAAACAUGGACACGAAGUUGCUCCUUACGCUGGCUGUGUUUCUUCAAACGCGUGUGAUUUGGUUUCUCAGUUGAAAUUCCGACAGGAUUUUGCUGCUCGUUUUAAAUACACCAUUACACCACGAGUUGCAGGAAGCAGCUUCUGCAGCUCCGCUCACAUUACACCAAGCUUUACAGGAAGCAGCUUCUGCAGCUCUGCCCAGGUUUGUCAUUAUCAACCCUGAUGUUGCUGCUUUGCUGCUUGGUUUGUUCACUAUGUUCGUUUUUCAGAACCACUGUUAAACUCAAGAUCAGACUUUAUUAAUCCCACGAUGGGGAAAUUCGUUUGUUUGCAGCAGCGAUAUAACAUUGAACAAAAACAGUCAAAAACAAGAUAGAAACAAACAAUAUUAAGAUGUACAAGAAAAGACAAGGCACUCGACUAAAACUGAAAAAUACAGAAAGAGCACGUCUCAUCUUAUUAUGCUCUGCUUAUAUGAUCUUAUUUCUGUUUUGAAUCUGUAUGAUGAUGCUGUAAUCAAAUCAUGGUUUUUGCAAAUUUUUCAAAUCCUGUCAAACAUUCUUCUGCGUCUCAUAUUAAAGCUUAAACUUCUUCAAUAAAGCCUUUUCAUAUUCAGUUUCUGAUCCCA